rnacentral:lncRNA from 1 species
UCAUGAAUUCUUAGCUCUUGUCUAACUGCGUAAUGUAUUGUGUUAUUGUUUUUUGUCUUCCCAGUCAAAUCUUGUCCUGCCCUCAGUGGAAGAGUUGAGCUCUUCUCCAUCCCUAUCCAUCAAUGAUGUGCCUGUCCUGCAUUCAAGCAUCUGAACACCUCAACUCAUGCUGCAUACCCUCAUUCAAUCACUGCUGUGAUCCCUUCCCAACAAUGUGGGCAGUAGCAGCUCUGAUGUUUAACAGCAGAAGUGGAGCAGGAAGGAUGUUGUUAAUUGUGACUGUUGGACCUCCAGCAUGGCUUUGGCUGCUCUCAAGGUAGGACUGAGCAGCAAGAAUAUUUACAUCAAGUUAAAUGACUUACUCUGUAUUCUACACAAUGAUUUAAACAAAGUUGGACAGAGAUCUUCCUCAUGCACAACUCUCUAUCAAUAGUUACUUUCACUUGACAUUUCUUAGCACUGAUGAAGUGACUACUAAAGUCUUGCGCAAACAACUUGUGCAACGGUGGAUAUAACUGAGCUAGACUGUGUUUGAAUAGAAUAUGAAGUUGAGAACCAAGCUAAUCACCUGACACUAGACAGGAGUAAUUGAAGGCUUCUCAGAGGGCAGAUCUUUACACUUUUCCACCGCAGCACCUCUCUCUCUCUCUCGCUCUCGUUCUCUCUUUCUCUCUGGCAUUAUCUCCUCUGAAUAUCCCCCCCCCCAUAUUCGAGGUAUAUUUUAAAUACAUCUGUCUAUAGUGAACCCGUGCUUUGUGACAAGUUGUGUCUACAGUGAACCCAUGCUUUGUGACAAGUUGUGUCUAUAUCUCCGGUGCAGGGUAGCAGAGCUAAUGUCACUGUGACGUGACGUGGCCUACCAUCUCCCACUGACAGCUCAGGGCUUCCCUGGAGGGAGAGCCCCUUUGUUCCCGCAGUCAUCGUGAGCCACUCCUUUCAGGAAGAGAUCAUACCAGAAGGUGAGGUCAACUAUAAGAAAACUCCAGACAAUAGGAGCUGGAACUGGAUUUAACGUUCCACAAAGCAGAGCUGUGUUCUUUGAAGAUUUUGUUUCCCCCUGUGAGGGCUAAUUAAACAACAGCCAGCUUGGGGUUCAACAUCCUUGGCUGGAACAGAUGAAAAUAAAGACUAAAUUCUGGAAACUUUAGCAGCACAUGCAUCAUUAUUAUCAUGUGUUUAGAGCUUGCAAAAACGGAACUGUACUUGUACAUGUGAACUUGAAACUCUUGUUGUGGAUUAAUUUAAUAUGAUAGGUUAUGGCUAUUUCAAAAACAAAAAAAAGGCAUAUGUCCCAAAUAAUAACUGUCUCAAAUAAGAUUAUCUGCACAACCAAUACAAAACAGUCAAUGAAUGAAAAUAUGAAAAAUAUUCAUAUCAGCAAAAAGAGGGAGUGUCCAUUAUUUAAUUUUCUUCCGUCGUAUAAAUAAAAAUUGAACUGAGGAUUGGCAUAAUGUCC